rnacentral:rRNA from 1 species
GAACGUAAGAGUUUGAUCCUGGCUCAGAUUGAACGCUGGCGGCAUGCCUUACACAUGCAAGUCGAACGAUUUUCCGGGGCUUGCUCUGGGAGAUAGUGGCGAACGGGUGAGUAAUGCAUCGGAACGUACCCGUAUGAGGGGGAUAGCCCGGCGAAAGCCGGAUUAAUACCGCAUACGUCCUGAGGGAGAAAGCGGGGGACCUGA